rnacentral:rRNA from 1 species
AGCAGCCGCGGUAAUUCCAGCUCCAAUAGCGUAUAUUAAAGUUGUUGCAGUUAAAAAGCUCGUAGUUGAAUUUCGGGAUCGACGGGUCGGUCGCGCCUCUGGUGUGUACUGGCCCUGUCGGUUUCUCCCUUCUGACGAACCACGAUGUCAUUAAUUUGGUGUCGUGGGAAAUCAGGACUGUUACUUUGAAAAAAUUAGAGUGUUUAAAGCAGGCAUUCGCUUGAAUACAUUAGCAUGGAAUAAUGAAAUAGGACGUUUGAUCUUAUUUUGUUGGUUUCUAAGAUCGACGUAAUGAUUAAUAGGGAUAGUUGGGGGCAUUAGUAUUCAAUUGUCAGAGGUGAAAUUCUUGGAUUUAUUGAAGACUAACUACUGCGAAAGCAUUUGCCAAGGAUGUUUUCAUUAAUCAAGAACGAAAGUUAGGGGAUCGAAGACGAUCAUAUACCGUCGUAGUCUUAACCAUAAACUAUGCCGACUAGGGAUCGGAUGAUGUUAAUUUUUAAUGACUCAUUCG